rnacentral:rRNA from 1 species
UACGGGGGGGGCAAGCGUUGUUCGGAAUUACUGGGCGUAAAGGGCUCGUAGGCGGCCAACUAAGUCAGACGUGAAAUCCCUAGGCUCAACCUAGGAACUGCGUCUGAUACUGGAUGGCUUGAAUCCGGGAGAGGGAUGCAGAAUUCCAGGUGUAGCGGUGAAAUGCGUAGAUAUCUGGAGGAAUACCGGUGGCGAAGGCGGUAUCCUGGACCGGCAUUGACGCUGAGGAGCGAAAGCCAGGGGAGCAAAGCGGGG